CAGCAACAACAGCAACAGCAACAGCAGCAACAGCAACAGCAGCAGCAGCAACAACAGCAACAACAGCAGCUUACAUUGUUUUGGGAGUCUUUUGAACUCUCCUGACCAUGGCUGGAAGGAAGUUUCUUUUAGCUGGCACUGGAGUGUUGUUAGAUCAUCUAUGACUCUUGUAGAAUCACUGUCACUCUUCAUGGCAUAACUCUCUCUGUGUGUGUGUGAGAGAGAGAGAGAGGGGGGAGAGAUGUGUAUUUGAGUUGGAUCCAUUGGAGAGUGGAGAUCUACCUGGUCCCAGCAGCUGCACAGACUGAGGACCUGAAGACCCACGGGACUCAGCCCACUGCCUGUGAAGAGGCACAGCCAAACUGGGAAUUGAUUUGAAUGUAAUGAACCUUCUGUCUCAUCUGGCACUUUCAGAAGAAUCUGCAGAGUCAAUAGCUGCUCUUUGGAUCCAGAUGUGGAACUACCUCUCCAGUACCCUGUCUGCCUGCAGGCUUCUGUGCUUCCUACUGUGAGGACACUGUACUAAACCUCUGAAAUGGGAUCACCGUUUCCCCUGAGAUAAUGGGAAUUUCAUAUAGCUCUAAAUUACUUUACGAGAGCCUCGCCCGAACCCGAAGUACACCAGAUCCUAAAAUAUUCAGUGAUGUACCAAAUCAAGAAUUUAUGAAUUCAGCAUCUUACCGCAGGGGCAAGACUCUGUUUCCAGCCUUCUUUGCUCCUUGAGAGAAGGGCAGAACUCAGAAUUCAGGGAAUAUUAAAGUAGGACGCUCCCUUUCCUUCCCAUCAGGGAGGAGCAAGGUGGGAAGAAGAGACAGCAAGAAAAGGGAUGGAGCAAGGCAGAAGGCUGGAUAUUGAAUAUAUAUGUAGCUCCCAGCAACCACGUUUAUUACUUGGAAUUGAAAAUUUGUUCUUUGAAAUAUCAAAGCCAAAUCUUUUUUUCUUUUAUUGUGUUUAUGGAUAUUGAAAUAUUGGAUAUAUGGAUAUCGAAGUAAUAGCUUCAUCAUCCUGGUGUCCUAGCAUGCGGGCUUGUAAGUGCUCCUGUGUGCAUGUGUGUGUGGAGGAGAGAGGUCAGGUGUAGAGAGUCCUCCUCACUUGCCUCCUACCUUAACUUUUGCAUCAGAGGAUCUCACUGAAUUUAGGAUUUUGUGACUCAACUCUGGCCAGAAAUUCCAGAGCACCCUUCUGUUCCUAUUCUCCAGAGACAGGAUGACAGGCAAUUACUGCUGUACCUAGGUGCUAGGGACUGAGCUCAAGAGUUCAUGGUCACAUAGCAAGAACUCUCUAUAGAUGUAUUUUUGUAUUUUUGAUCAAUUUAAGGUAAUAAAUAAAUAAUAUAUA